CUGCAGCCUGUGGAGUGAAGAUACUGCCAGAUCAUCAUACUUGAGACAAAGUAGGAGGUGACACUUCUGCUGGCUCCCACCACAUCCAGGUGGAUGAAGCUACAAAAAGCCUGAGUGUGAUGGUGGGAGUGUUCUGCAUCAGAAAGCACAACUGAACAUCCAGAAUGCAGGAAGAUGCAGGACAACAGGUAAAAGCAAAGCUGAGAUAAAGCGCAGCACCAAACUGGAUAGAAAACCUCAAGCUGCUCUGCAGUUCAGAAUUCACUGAGAUGUUUUUUUAUGAAGUUUCUCUUCCUAAAACCCCACGUUUUUUUCUUUGAAAAGCAGUCCAAAUGAUCACACACGUGGCAGAGCCUGCAUCUGACUGACACACCUGCAGCUGCUCAAAGGGGGUUGGUAAUGCUGGGCUGUGAAUUGCCUGACAGAACCCGAUGUCCAGCUCACACCAGGCCUACUUGACUUGAGAAAACAUGUAUUUUCCAUUUAAUCUCGUAUUUAAUCUCUACUCUUCUCACUUCAUUUUAGGAUGAAUGCCCUAUAAUACCAGAAAAUCCAGAGAUAGCACAAGUUCCCUCCUUCCCUCCUGCUCUGCUUGGCUGUCUCUCCUUCCUGGAUAUGUCCUGUGCCAUGCACUUGUUCUCACGUGUGACAAGGGAAAUGGCUCUGUUCUGCAGAACCAGCUACUUACAGGACUGCUAGCACAAUUCCAAAUUCAGCUUAUGGUGCAUAACAGGGAGAAAUACAGAAUCCACUGGGUCUGGGAUGAGAAAACAGCUCUGCUUAUUUUGUCAACUCGCAAGCAGAGUUGGGAUCUGAAAGCCUGUCCUUCCAAAACCUCUCUCAAAGUUCUCUUCAGUGGCAGCAGAUGAAAUUUGAUGAGUUUUCCAGCAGAGACAAUGGCAGGACAGAGGUAUUACAGAGAAAUGGAGCCAGACUCUUCUCAGUGCCCAACAGUGAAAGGAGACAGACACAAGUUGCACCACAGGAAAUUCUGACUGGGUAUAAGGUAAAUAUUUGAAGCUGGCCCUGAUCUGAGUAGCUGAAUGAAGUAAAGGAAUGCACAGAGGUUCUUUCCAACUUAGAAUCAUGGAAAGAGGUUGGGUUGGGAGGGACCUUUAGAGGCUGUCUGGGUCCAGCCCCCCUGCCAUAGGCAGGGACACCUUCCACUAUCCCAAGUGGCUCAGUCUCAUCCAACUUGGCCUUCAACACUUGCAGGGAUGAGGUAUCCACAGCUUCUCUGGAUUACCUGUGCCAGGGCCUCACCACCCUCAUUGUAAAAAAAUCUUUAUCCAGUCUAAGUAGGGCUUUUAGUUUAGAACCAUUACCUUGUCCUGUCACAACAGGAAUUGCUAAAAUGUUUGUCCCUAACUGAAAUCACUCCAUAAAAUGCAUGAAAAAGACCCCUGUAACUUUUUGUGCUAUGAAUGAGAACAAUAAAAAUUCAAACCAGAAAUCUGCCCCCCAGGUUUAGCAGUGAAGGACAACCAAUCACCAUUCCAAAGGACUUUCAGCAUUUCCACAUCAGUAAGGUGACUCGUGGUGAAAAUUCACCUCAGCAAUACAUGGGACCUGACACAGCAGGCAUGGCCAACUUCAACACUGAACUUGUGAAAAUUGAGAGC